rfam:Gossypium hirsutum cultivar TM-1 chromosome 2, whole genome shotgun sequence
UGCAUGACUGUUGUCAGCUCGUGCCGUAAGGUGUUGGGUUAAGUCCCGCAAUGAGCGCAACCCUCGUGUUUAGUUGCCACCGUUGAGUUUGGAACCCUGGGAAGGAGGGGCAUCCUAAUGAGAUCCUAAUCUCAAGACACA